UUGCUGUGGUAACAACCUUUGGGACACCUUUGGAUUAACCAUGAAAAAAAAACAAUGUUCUGAACAAC